CAUGUUUCUACUGACUGUUACGGAACUUUUGGACAUUUCAUCAUGUUAUAGAGGACGCGCUUUGUGACUUUGGAAUUGUUUACCAAAUGCGCUAACCAAGGUAGCUAAUUGGACAUAGAUAACGGACAUUUUCGAACAAAUCAAGCAUUUAUUGUGGACCUGGGAUGUCUAGGACUGCAUUCUGAUGAAGCUCAUCAAAGGUGAUGUGCCUUUCAGGUGGCAAUGGAGGAGAUGGGGAACAAAGUGAAAAUGACAUGGCUUGGGAACACCUCUCGGAUCCUGGGGCCGGAAAGGGGAAAACUGGGCGAAAGCUUAAGGAGGCUUUUUAGGCUUUCAUUGUUGUGGAAUGCAGCAGAAAAGU
ensembl:lncRNA